AACGAACGCUGGCGGCAGGCUUAACACAUGCAAGUCGAACGCCCCGCAAGGGGAGUGGCAGACGGGUGAGUAACGCGUGGGAACAUACCCUUUUCUACGGAAUAGCUCUGGGAAACUGGAAUUAAUACCGUAUACGCCCUACGGGGGAAAGAUUUAUCGGGGAAGGAUUGGCCCGCGUUGGAUUAGCUAGUUGGUGGGGUAAAGGCCUACCAAGGCGACGAUCCGUAGCUGGUCUGAGAGGAUGAUCAGCCACAUUGGGACUGAGACACGGCCCAAACUCCUACGGGAGGCAGCAGUGGGGAAUAUUGGACAAUGGGCGCAAGCCUGAUCCAGCCAUGCCGCGUGAGUGAUGAAGGCCUUAGGGUUGUAAAGCUCUUUCACCGAUGAAGAUAAUGACGGUAGUCGGAGAAGACGCCCCGGCUAACUUCGUGCCAGCCGCCGCGGUAACAC
rnacentral:rRNA from 1 species